CCGGGGACAGAGACCACCUAGGCCUAGAGGAUUUGAAGAUUCCCCCAGAAGAGACCAUCCAGCUGGGAUCCCUGCAGGACUGAUAGGGCCUCGAGCAGAGGUCAUGGUGAGGAUUGAAGGGGCGGAGUGUAAAGCCGUGCUUGACACUGGAUCUCAAGUGACUAUUAUAUUUCAGUCAUUCUACCAACAGAUGCUUAGGCACCUGCCCAUACAGCCACUGACUGGCAUUGGUCUGUGUGGCCUCAGNCAGAAGGUCCGGGGACGGAGACCACCUAGGCCUAGAGGAUUUGAAGAUUCCCCCAGAAGAGACCAACCAGCUGGGAUCCCUGCAGGACUGAUAGGGCCUCGAGCAGAGGUCAUGGUGAGGAUUGAAGGGGCGGAGUGUAAAGCCGUGCUUGACACUGGAUCUCAAGUGACUAUUAUAUUUCAGUCAUUCUACCAACAGAUGCUUAGGCACCUGCCCAUACAGCCACUGACGGGCAUUGGUCUGUGUGGCCUCAGCAUGGAUGAAUACCCCUAUCAAGGGUAUGUCAUAGUGCACCUGAAAUUCCCAGAGGAGGUUGCUGGGGUAAGGCAAGAGGUAGACACCACUGCCUUAAUAUGCCAUGACCCGAAAGGGACCUCUGAUGUAUCUGUGCUGAUAGGGACCAACUCCAGCCUCUUUAGGAUACUGGCCGAUUACUGCAGACAGCAAGCAGAAGACCAAUAUUUGCACACCUUGGUAAUACACACACACACACACUGUGCCGCGGCUUACAGAAAAAUUGAGAACACAAAAAAAGUGAUGCCUGAUUUGCCAGUAGAAGCACUGAGGUAUGCGGGCCCGGUCCCUUUAGUGGUGCCUGCCAUGUCAGAAAAGGAGGUGAUUGUCAGGAGUACCUGCCUAAAAGGCAGUAAGGGANGGGCCCGGUCCCUUUAGUGGUGCCUGCCAUGUCAGAAAAGGAGGUGAUUGUCAGGAGUACCUGCCUAAAAGGCAGUAAGGGAACAUUAGCUGUGGUAGAGCAGCCAACCAAGGGAGGGCUCCCAGAAGGAGUGCUGGUUCUCAGUGGAGUCAUAACCCUACCUGUUGAAGCCCAGGAGGAGGUGACGAUACUGGUUGCUAAUGAAACACGCCGUGACGUGUUUGUAAAACGAGGGCAGAAGAUUGCAG
rnacentral:lncRNA from 1 species